rnacentral:rRNA from 1 species
GACGAACGCUGGCGGCGUGCUUAACACAUGCAAGUCGAACGGAAAGGCCCUGCUUUUGUGGGGUGCUCGAGUGGCGAACGGGUGAGUAACACGUGAGUAACCUGCCCUUGACUUUGGGAUAACUUCAGGAAACUGGGGCUAAUACCGGAUAGGAGCUCCUGCUGCAUGGUGGGGGUUGGAAAGUUUCGGCGGUUGGGGAUGGACUCGCGGCUUAUCAGCUUGUUGGUGGGGUAGUGGCUUACCAAGGCUUUGACGGGUAGCCGGCCUGAGAGGGUGACCGGCCACAUUGGGACUGAGAUACGGCCCAGACUCCUACGGGGGGCAGGAGUGGGGAAUUUUGCAAAAUGGGCGGAAGCCUGAUGCAGCAACGCCGCGUGCGGGAUGACGGCCUUCGGGUUGUAAACCGCUUUCGCCUGUGACGAAGCGUGAGUGGCGGUAAUGGGUAAAGAAGCACCGGCUAACUACGU